rnacentral:rRNA from 1 species
UACGUAGGGUGCGAGCGUUGUCCGGAAUUAUUGGGCGUAAAGGGCUCGUAGGCGGUUUGUCGCGUCGGGAGUGAAAACCUCGGGCUUAACUCGGGGCUUGCUUUCGAUACGGGCAGACUAGAGGUAUGCAGGGGAGAACGGAAUUCCUGGUGUAGCGGUGAAAUGCGCAGAUAUCAGGAGGAACACCGAUGGCGAAGGCAGGUCUCUGGGCCACUACUGACGCUGAGAAGCGAAAGCAUGGGGAGCGAACAGG